rnacentral:rRNA from 1 species
ACGAACCGUGCGAACGUUAUUCGGAAUCACUGGGCUUAAAGCGCGUGUAGGCGGCCCGGAACGUCGUCGGCUGAAAUCCCCCGGCUCAACCGGGGAACGGGCCACGAUACGACCGGGCUGGAGGGGGGUAGGGGGAGCCGGAACUCACGGUGGAGCGGUGAAAUGCGUUGAGAUCGUGAGGAACGCCCGUGGCGAAAGCGGGCUCCUGGACCCCACCUGACGCUGAGACGCGAAAGCCAGGGGAGCGAACGG